rnacentral:rRNA from 1 species
AAUGGACCCCACAGCUAGUGAACAUCGUUUACGGCGUGGACUACCAGGGUAUCUAAUCCUGGUUUGCUCCCCACGCUUUCGCACCUCAACGUCAGUAUUGGUGCAGGGGGCCGCCUUCCCCACUGGGGUUCCUCCCGAAAUCUACGCAUUUCACCGCUACACCUGGAAUUCCACCCCCCUCUACCAGACUCAAGCAAGGCAGUAUCCAAUGCACUUCCCCGGUUGAGCCCGGGACUUUCACAUCUGACUGAACUAACCACCUACCUGCGCUUUACGCCCAGUAAUUCCGAGAAACGCUUGCACCCUCCGUAUUACCGCGGCUGCUGGCACGGAGUUAGCCGGUGCUUCUUCUGUGGGUAACGUCAACACCUAGGGGUAUUAACCCCUGGCUUUUCUUCCCCACUGAAAAUGCUUUAGGAACUCCAAGGCUUCUUCACACACGCUGCAUUAGAGGAUCAAGCUUUCCCCCAAUGGCCAAUAUUCCCCACCGCUGCCUCCC